AGCGAACGCUGGCGGCAGGCCUAACACAUGCAAGUCGAACGGCUCUUCGGAGCAGUGGCGGACGGGUGAGUAACGCGUGGGAACGUGCCCUUUGGUUCGGAACAACACAGGGAAACUUGUGCUAAUACCGGAUGAGCCCUUCGGGGGAAAGAUUUAUCGCCAUUGGAGCGGCCCGCGUUGGAUUAGGUAGUUGGUGGGGUAAAGGCCCACCAAGCCGACGAUCCAUAGCUGGUCUGAGAGGAUGAUCAGCCACACUGGGACUGAGACACGGCCCAGACUCCUACGGGAGGCAGCAGUGGGGAAUCUUGCGCAAUGGGCGAAAGCCUGACGCAGCCAUGCCGCGUGAAUGAUGAAGGUCUUAGGAUUGUAAAAUUCUUUCGUGGGGGAAGAUAAUGACGGUACCCCAAGAAGAAGCCCCGGCUAACUCCGUGCCAGCAGCCGCGGUAAU
rnacentral:rRNA from 1 species